rnacentral:pre_miRNA from 1 species
ACGGAGUUUUCUCUCUCAGUCCUGAAAUAGAGUCAGACUGCACCCUGAGGAGAAGCAUUAGAGGAUGGGAGUACAUUGU